rnacentral:rRNA from 1 species
UACGGAGGAUGCGAGCGUUAUUCGGAUUUAUUGGGUUUAAAGGGUGCGUAGGCGGACUGUUAAGUCAGCGGUAAAAGCCCGGGGCUCAACCCCGGCCUGCCGUUGAAACUGGCGGCCUCGAGUGGGCGAGAAGUAUGCGGAAUGCGUGGUGUAGCGGUGAAAUGCAUAGAUAUCGCGCAGAACCCCGAUUGCGAAGGCAGCCUGCCGGCCCCACACUGACGCUGAGGCACGAAAGCGUGGGUAUCGAACAGG